GCUACGGGUGGCAGCAGUGAGGAAUAUUGGUUAAUGGGCGAGAGCCUGAACCAGCCAAGUCGCGUGAGGGAAGACGGUCCUAUGGAUUGUAAACCUCUUUUGUCGGGGAGCAAAAAGGCCUCGUGAGGCCCCAAGCGAGAGUACCCGAAGAAAAAGCAUCGGCUAACUCCGUGCCAGCAGCCGCGGUAAUACGGAGGAUGCGAGCGUUAUUGGGAUUUAUUUGGUUUAAAGGGUGCGUAGGCGGACUGGAAAGUCAGCGGUAAAAUAGAGAGGCACAACCACUUUACGCCGUUGAAACGGACGGUUUUGAGUGGGAGAGAAGUAGGCGGAAGGGGUGGUGGAGGGGUGAAAGGCAUGGAG
rnacentral:rRNA from 1 species